UACGGAGGAUCCAAGCGUUAUCCGUAUUCAUUGGGUUUAAAGGGUGCGUAGGCGGAAUAAUAAGUCAGUGGUGAAAUCCUUCAGCUUAACUGGAGAACUGCCAUUGAUACUGUUAAUCUUGAGUACAUUUGAUGUGGGCGGAAUGUGUCAUGUAGCGGUGAAAUGCUUAGAUAUGACACAGAACACCGAUAGCGAAGGCAGCUUGCUACACAGUCAUUGACACUGAGGCACGAAAGCGUGGGGAGCAAACAGG
rnacentral:rRNA from 1 species